rnacentral:lncRNA from 1 species
GAUUUUAUAAUUGAAGAGACAUAGAACCUCAAUUGGUGAGUUUUAGGAGUAAGAUUGAUAGGAUGAAGUUUGUUUUUAUUUAUUUUUUAAUUUUUUGCAGUUGAAGAUGAGUAGGGAGAUUAAAUCAUUUGCAGAGAUGUUUUCGUUGUGUUAUGGACUCUGGAAAUAUAUGUCCAGUUAGAAGGCAAUGUGAGAAGGGAACAUAAAAAUUUAUGUAACCAUUUAACUGUAUCCUCCAACAUGUGAGAAGGCAAUGUGAUGACUAGUGAACAAGCAUUAGACCACUCUAUCUUUUCCUUUUUGUUUUAGUUAAAGCAUUUCUAGUAGCCAAUUCAAUAGCUUUUUUUUUUCGUCAAAAUCGAAUUUCAUUAAAUAGAAGGCCAAAAUCAGUUACACCAAUCAGGGGAG